rnacentral:lncRNA from 1 species
CAAUCAUCUUUUUUGCCCAGAAAGCAUUCAGUGAAAAUACGAAAAAAAGGUUACAUCACACAUGGAAUCAUUUAAAAAGUCAAUGUAAAAAUAGCAAUUGUAUUUCUAACUGCAUUUUCCCAUUUGUCUUCCAAAAUAAGUAAGAGUACAAACAUCACUUCGAUCACUUUUCAUUCUCAUCCUCAGGUUCACUGUCUUCACUGUCACUGUCUCUUCCAGGAUGUUCCGGCAUUGUUCGAUGUUCAUCCACUUCUGAUGCUUUCAAUUCUUCUUCCUUUACUACUUCUUCUUCUACCUUAUUUUCUUCUGCAUCUUCCCGAAUACCGUGCACCUCAACUUCUGCUUCAGACUCUUGAGUUUGAGUAGUUUCAGGCUCUUCAACCAUGGCAGGUGGGGGCAAUAAACGCUGUUGGUAGUGGCGUGUACUCUGUAUCAUGUGCAUAUACAUGUUGUAAACAAAGUUAGCCAUUUGAGGCAUAUUCUUGAUAACAUGUAUUUGGUGAGCUGGUGGUUCCC